CUCCUCCUCCAGUCAGUAACCCUUCUGCCUGUUCACUUGAUGCCAGCCCCUGGAUGCCAGUUGUGUACUGUACUGCUGUACUUUUCAAGCUCCACCCUUAGUCCCCGAUUCCAGAGGUGUUUGAUGCUGCCCUGCGUGAGGGUUUUGAGGAUUCCGUCCCAUAACUCAGGAGGAAGAAAUUGCCUAUGGCUGAGUUGGAGAGAAACUUCUGAAAACUGGAUUUAUUCUGCCAGAAAGGGCUUUUGAUUCUAAGCUGUCCUAAAGAUAUAGACAAUUCAGUUAAGCAUGCAACUCAAAGCAAUGAUACAGGAUGUGUUGGAAAGAGGCCUUCUGGUGAAGGCUAAGAUAUAUGAUUAAAAAGUAAUUUAAAAUAGUUAAGACCAUGAAGAGUUUGGACUGGAAGUCGGGAAAUUUGAGUUUUAGCCCCAGAAUCUGCUUUUAAUUAGUUCUGUAACUUAGGGAAUUAACUUCUCUUUCAAAGCCUUGGCUUCCUCACUUAAAACGCAGAGGCCAAUGCAUACAGUCCCCAAGGCCUCCUACAGCCCUAAAUCUCCCUGAGGGAAAUUUCAGCCAGGACGCCACUGACACACUGGCAACUGAGAACAGGGUGGUCUCUGGGGUGAAUCACGGCUGUGGGACACGGGACACGAGGUGAGCGCAUUCUUCUCAACCAAAGCCUUAUGGAGUCUCUCCUUCAUGCGUCUAAGAGCUUCCAAAACGCAAAGAGACAGAUGAUCCCAUUUUACAUUUUUUAAUUUUUGAGAGAGAGGCAGAGUGAUGACUACCCCACCUCUCCCCCAAGUGCAAUGGAAGCCUGGGCCCUCCUGGGGUCCCACAUGAGGCUCGGAGACCCUCCCACCAUGCAUCACCUCAUCCCACCCCCCAGAAUGAAAGGGGGGUGGCUCAGAGUGUGAGGAGAGUGCUGGAGGGAGUCCAGAUUUUGUCAACCGUGAGCCCAAACCCAGUCCACAGGAACGUGCCUGUGAAUUUCUAACAUCCCAUAUUUACCAAAAAGUGUAAAGGUCAUAGCAGGUAGGGGCAUUGGUUGUAAGAAGUAUCAACCCACUUGUCCUGGCAUAGAAAAAGGGGGCCUUUAUUAUAAGGAUAUGAGGUGAUGCCUGACAUCAAAGGAGGAGUGGAGCUGGGCCAUGUGCACAGAUCACUCUGUUCCCUGCACAGCCUGCACGGACCACUCUGUUCCAUGCACACACCACUCUGUUCCCUGCACGGACCACUCUGUUCCCCACACAGGACCACUCAGUUCCCUUCCCCGCACGGACCACUCUGUUCGCACAGGCAGACUCCAUCAUUUGCUUCUCUUGCCCAUGUGGGAGUUGUCAGCCGCCACCGCUCCAAGGUUCCUCGUCAGCCCUGAGUGUCAGUUCCCGGGUUUCCAGGACGUGUGAUCUGAUGGGCCCACUUAGGUCAGAAGGUCAUGGUUCAUCCAACCAGCUGUAGUCCAGGGGAGGGGGACCAACCCUGUGCCUGAGGUGGGAAGUUCCCAGAACCGUGGAGCUUACAGGCCCAAGAAAUCCUCCUGUAGAGGCUGCCACAUGGAGUGAGGGGCACACAGGAUUUUACUCUUGAGGGGAAAAUUUAGGGUUGCUCUUUUUAAAAUAUCUUCCCUGUUUAGAAGUAUUUUCCUUUCCACCAGGAAAUCAGUAUGAUGAGCAGGAGAAACAAUUCACCUAAAAGUCCUGUAGGUGAAUCUUUAUCCCAAAUGUUUGGCCACUCCAAGAUUGUGUCAUCUGUUCGUAAAACUAUUCUGCAUGUUUGCUCUGCGGACCAGCCUGUGCUGAAUCGAUGUCAAACGACUGGGACAGGCUGUGUGGUGACCGACGGCUGGGAGCAGGCCAAACCCAGCCUUCCAGUCAGGCCACAGGCCAAGUGUGCAGCGCUGGACGGUGGCUGUCACAUCCCAAGGGAACCUGGACUCUGGCUCCCACAGCGCAGGCCCACUGGGGUCGCGACCUGAAGGCAGACAAGAACAGAAAGGGACAGCCAUUUCUCCCCUGGGUGGCAGGGCGGCCAGCCAGCAGCCUCGGGUCCAGAGCUGGAGCCGGACGUGAGUAGCGAGGCUUGGGCCCGCAGACAGGAGCUGUGACGGCAGGUUAUGGCCCAGCGGGAAGGAAGUCCCUUGUGCCAUCAGCAGAGUCUGCUCCUGAAAGGACAUUGUUUCCGCGUGCGGUGGGGAGAGGCCCCAUCUGCAGGAGGCCCGGGGCAUGGAGGCAGGUCCCUCUCCUUUGCCCACGCCCAGCCUGGGGCCUGGAGGACGGCCGUGGCCCAGCAGCCCCUCCUCUCUGGACCUCUGCUGUUUCCCCCGGGAAGGCUCCCGGGCCCAGGACUAGCACAGACCACGCAGAUGGACAUGGGGCACCUGUGGACCCCCCUUUGUGCGUCUUCUCCAUCGGGCCACCCAGGCCACCUGCUGGGGCCGUGUCCCCAUGUCCAGCAGACUCUCACUGGCAGGACCCAGGCAUUUCCCUAACACACUUGUGUGUUUUCUGAGAUGUGGUGUUAACCUCGUAAAUGUCUGGAUGAAAGUUCGAAUAAACAAAAUCACCCAUUGUCCUUGAUCCCAGGUGGAUUGGUCUGUUCUAGUUGAGCCAUGAGCCUGUCUCUGGAGUGUCUGUAAGCGUGUUUGAUGGCUGCAUGGGUCCAUCUUCUGUGCUUUUCCACGUGGAAGCACCAGGUUCAUCUAAUGAAGAGAUCACUUUUAAAUCUGCCGUUGGCUGCGAUCAAGGGCUCUACAGAGCACACGGUCUAGUCAAUGAAGACAGUGUGCGAAGAGCUGGGUCUCCCACGUCCUCAACGCGCGCCUGCGGUGGGACCACACUUAGUACUUCGUUAUUUCCCGACCUUAACAAGACGUUAGGAGUGAUGGAUAAAGGAACUGAGGAUUUCACGGGGAGGUUAAGGGGGCGAAUUCAAAGGACACACCAGCCGCAGUUGUAAUUGAUUCUCCUCCCCCAUAUUUCCUCUCUGCCUGGGCUGGUUCUUCUCCUUUCCCCUGCCCCACCUCCCUCUGAGAUCCCCCUUUAUGACCCAGCAGGUCAGCUGCAUAAAUCACACUCUGCAACCCGGCCUAACAGACUGGCUUUAUGUUUCCCUCAAGCAAGCCCCUCGGCCGGUGGGUGUUACCUCACUAGGUGUGUGCUGAGCGUGUUCAAGAACCUGGUUCCCUUCUGUGUUGGGAAAAAAGUCACCAUUGCCACCCCUGUGGGUCUUACUCAGCAAGACAGCCUUGCUUUCUGAGACCAGCAAUUACGCUCCGUCUGAACAAACGAAGUCAGCGCCCAGAAGGGCCGCAUCCCGGUUCACCUGGUGAGUCACUGGGGCUCACAAACCUGCCUAGAAAAAACCCACCGGAUCCUCGGAACCACAGCCACUUCUCAGCCUUUCUGCCAUCUCCCGGCUGGGUUCUGUCUUCUGACGUGAGAUAUUCCCUGUCCCCAAAAUAUUUCCUAAUAUCUCCUCAACCCAAGAAAGUUCAAAGACUCUACAUUCAAAUAUCCAUUCGAACGCAUUUUAAAACCUUUUUGCCUAUCACACAAUUAUUGUAACUGAGCUAAACGACAAAGUCUGGUGUUUACAAAUCAUGUCCAAUGC